CACCCCGGAAAUGGCAAUAGCAUCCGACUGUUAAUCGGACGGUUAUUGGUUCGAGUCCAAUCGGGGGAGCCA
rnacentral:tRNA from 2 species